rnacentral:rRNA from 1 species
UUCCGUAGGUGAACCUGCGGAAGGAUCAUUCACACGAAUCAUCCAAAUCCACGUGCAUCUUUUGAGUGAGGGUCGCAGAAGGGCUGGCAACGGUCGUCUGUGUUCUCCUCGAGGCUGGUCUGGGGCAUUUUAGGGCCACUCUCUGAAGCUCCUUCUCUGCUCUGGCCAGCACCCAACCUUUCACACCUCUUUCAUUACAGCAGCUGUUGUUGGCACCUCUCUGGGGUGCGCAUCAUCUAACAUUACAACUUUUAGCGAUGGAUGCCUCGGCUCGAACAACGAUGAAGGGCGCAGCGAAAUGCGAUAAGCACUGUGAAUUGCAGAAUUCCGUGAAUCAAUAGAACCCUGAACGCAUCCUGCGCUUUCGGGAUAUCCCUGAAAGCAUGCCUGCUUCAGAGUCUCCACUGUAUCCUGCAGCAUGGGCCUUGAGCCUGGCUGCGUUUUUGCGCGUCAGAGCGCGCCUCGCGUAGCACUUUUGGUGCGCGACGGCCGCUUUGACGCGUUGAAUGCAUCCGACCUGCCUUGAGAGCGCCAACUUGGUGAUCGCCCUUGCUGGUGUUUCACUCUGAGUUGACCUUGAGGUGUCAGGUCGCCCUUCUCACUUCGCUGCUUGGUGCUUUGUAUCAUGCGCCUGCUUGGUGCUUUGUAUCAUGCAGUGAACCAAGACAUGAAGUUAGGCAAGGUUACCCGCUGAAUUUAAGCAUAUCAAUAAGCGGAGGAA